CCAACAGGGAUUGCCCUAGUAACGGCGAGUGAAGCGGCAACAGCUCAAAUUUGAAAUCUGGCUUCGGCCCGAGUUGUAAUUUGCAGAGGAUGCUUCUGGCGCGGUGCCUUCCGAGUUCCCUGGAACGGGACGCCACAGAGGGUGAGAGCCCCGUAUGGUCGGACACCAAGCCUGUGUGAAGCUCCUUCGACGAGUCGAGUAGUUUGGGAAUGCUGCUCUAAAUGGGAGGUAAAUCUCUUCUAAAGCUAAAUACCGGCCAGAGACCGAUAGCGCACAAGUAGAGUGAUCGAAAGAUGAAAAGCACCUUGAAAAGGGGGUUAAAUAGUACGUGAAAUUGUUGAAAGGGAAGCACUUAUGACCAGACUUGGGCCGGGCGGCUCAUCAGGGGUUCUCCCCUGUGCACUCCGCCCGGCACAGGCCAGCAUCGGUUCUCGUGGGGGGAUAAGACCGUCAGGAACGUAGCACCCUCCGGGGUGUGUUAUAGCCUGGCGGACGAUACCCCCGUGGGGACCGAGGUCCGCGCUCCGCAAGGAUGCUG
rnacentral:rRNA from 1 species